UACGAAGGGGGCUAGCGUUGCUCGGAAUGACUGGGCGUAAAGGGCGCGUAGGCGGUUUGGACAGUCAGAUGUGAAAUUCCUGGGCUCAACCUGGGGGCUGCAUUUGAUACGUUCGGACUAGAGUGGGGAAGAGGGUCGUGGAAUUCCCAGUGUAGAGGUGAAAUUCGUAGAUAUUGGGAAGAACACCGGUGGCGAAGGCGGCGACCUGGUCCUUGACUGACGCUGAGGCGCGAAAGCGUGGGGAGCGAACAGG
rnacentral:rRNA from 1 species